rnacentral:rRNA from 1 species
CAAACGACUCUCGGCAACGGAUAUCUCGGCUCACGCAUCGAUGAAGAACGUAGCAAAAUGCGAUACUUGGUGUGAAUUGCAGAAUCCCGUGAACCAUCGAGUUUUUGAACGCAAGUUGCGCCCGAAGCCUUUCGGCCGAGGGCACGUCUGCUUGGGCGUCACAC